AGCAGCAGCCGCCGCCGACUGAGGAGCCGCAGCCAGGGAGCCAGCCAGCGCCGCCCAGUGCCGAGUGCGCAGCGGCCGCGCACGGAAACAGCCGAGCUAGGCCCGGAGCAGCUCGAGCGGCCCCGCCCCCGCGCUGGGGACGGAACUUGCCGAAGACCUUCGGGUUUCUUCGGGCGACGAGAAGGGGUUCCGCGGGGAGAGGGAAGGCGAAGGCGGGCUGAGCCCGGCGCCGGGAGGAGUGGUCUAAACUCCACCGCGGCUUUCGCAUCGGUUUAUGGGAUGCAGGAUAAUGGAGCAUGCUCUAUCUGGGACAUUGCUAGUCUUAUGACAGAGGGAGAAGACAGCGAUGAGUUUUCGAAGAACUCCAGGAAGUGGCUGCAGAGCAAAGUAGGAUCCUGAUACUGAGCUCAAGUGAUUCAGAAUGAAAAGACCUUGGCACAGACCUGUUAAGGAAGCUCCAUAUAAGGUGAAGAAAACAACAUGCUCAGCCAUGUCCUUGCCUUCUGCACACGGUAG
rnacentral:lncRNA from 1 species